rnacentral:rRNA from 1 species
UCGGGAAUAUUGGACAAUGGGCGCAAGCCUGAUCCAGCCAUGCCGCGUGAGUGAUGAAGGCCCUAGGGUUGUAAAGCUCUUUCACCGGUGAAGAUAAUGACGGUAACCGGAGAAGAAGCCCCGGCUAACUUCGUGCCAGCAGCCGCGGUAAUACGAAGGGGGCUAGCGUUGUUCGGAAUCACUGGGCGUAAAGCGCACGUAGGCGGAUUGGUCAGUCAGGGGUGAAAGCCCGGAGCUCAACUCCGGAACUGCCUUUGAUACUGCCUGUCUAGAGUCCGGGAGAGGUGAGUGGAAUUCCGAGUGUAGAGGUGAAAUUCGUAGAUAUUCGGAAGAACACCAGUGGCGAAGGCGGCUCACUGGCCCGGUACUGACGCUGAGGUGCGAAAGCGUGGGGAGCAAACAGGAUUAGAUACCCCCGUAGUCC